rnacentral:rRNA from 1 species
UACGUAGGGGGCAAGCGUUGUCCGGAUUUAUUGGGCGUAAAGAGCGUGUAGGCGGCCAGACAGGUCAGCUGUGAAAACUCGAGGCUCAACCUCGAGCUGUCGGUGGAAACCGUGUGGCUAGAGUCCGGAAGAGGAGAGUGGAAUUCCCGGUGUAGCGGUGAAAUGCGCAGAUAUCGGGAAGAACACCCGUGGCGAAGGCGGCUCUCUGGGACGGUACUGACGCUGAGACGCGAAAGCGUGGGGAGCGAACAGG